AUUGAACGCUGGCGGCAGACCUAACACAUGCAAGUAGAACGAGUGGCGGACGGGUGAGUAAUGUAUGGGAAACUGCCUGCUGGAGGGGGAUAACUACUGGAAACGGUAGCUAAUACCGUAUACACUCGGAUGUGCCCAGAUGGGUUUAGCUAGUGGGUGGGGUAGUGUCUCACCUAGGCGACGAUCCCUAGCUGGUCGGAGAGGAUGACCAGCGACACUGGAACUGAGACACGGUCCAGACUCCUACGUGAGGCAGCAGUGGGGAAUAUUGCACAAUGGGCGCAAGCCUGAGGCAGCCAUGCCGCGUGUAUGAAGAAGGCCUUCGGGUUGUAAAGUACUUUCAGCGGGGAGGCGUUACCCGCAGAAGAAGCACCGGCUAACUCCGUGCCAGCCGCCGCGGUAAUAC
rnacentral:rRNA from 1 species